GCGGAAGUGGAGGAAUGGCAGACGCGCAGGCUUCAGGUGCCUGUGGUAGCAAUACCGUGUGGGUUCAAGUCCCAUCUUCCGCA
rnacentral:tRNA from 1 species